UACGGAGGGUGCAAACGUUGCUCGGAAUCAUUGGGCGUAAAGCGCACGUAGGCGGUCCAGUAAGUCGGGUGUGAAAGCCCUCGGCUCAACCGAGGAAGUGCAUUCGAAACUACUGAACUUGAGUAUGGAAGAGGGUCGCGGAAUUCCCGGUGUAGAGGUGAAAUUCGUAGAUAUCGGGAGGAACACCAGUGGCGAAGGCGGCGACCUGGGCCAAUACUGACGCUGAGGAGCGAAAGCGUGGGGAGCAAACAGG
rnacentral:rRNA from 1 species